rnacentral:rRNA from 1 species
GAUGAACGCUGGCGGCGUGCCUAAUACAUGCAAGUCGAGCGAACGGACGAGAAGCUUGCUUCUCUGAUGUUAGCGGCGGACGGGUGAGUAACACGUGGAUAACCUACCUAUAAGACUGGGAUAACUUCGGGAAACCGGAGCUAAUACCGGAUAAUAUUUUGAACCGCAUGGUUCAAAAGUGAAAGACGGUCUUGCUGUCACUUAUAGAUGGAUCCGCGCUGCAUUAGCUAGUUGGUAAGGUAACGGCUUACCAAGGCAACGAUGCAUAGCCGACCUGAGAGGGUGAUCGGCCACACUGGAACUGAGACACGGUCCAGACUCCUACGGGAGGCAGCAGUAGGGAAUCUUCCGCAAUGGGCGAAAGCCUGACGGAGCAACGCCGCGUGAGUGAUGAAGGUCUUCGGAUCGUAAAACUCUGUUAUUAGGGAAGAACAUAUGUGUAAGUAACUGUGCACAUCUUGACGGUACCUAAUCAGAAAGCCACGGCUAACUACGUGCCAGCAGCCGCGGUAAUACGUAGGUGGCAAGCGUUAUCCGGAAUUAUUGGGCGUAAAGCGCGCGUAGGCGGUUUUUUAAGUCUGAUGUGAAAGCCCACGGCUCAACCCGUGGAGGGUCAUUGGAAACUGGAAAACUUGAGUGCAGAAGAGGAAAGUGGAAUUCCAUGUGUAGCGGUGAAAUGCUCAGAGAUAUGGAGGAACACCAGUGGCGAAGGCGACUUUCUGGUCUGUAACUGACGCUGAUGUGCGAAAGCGUGGGGAUCAAACAGGAUUAGAUACCCUGGUAGUCCACGCCGUAAACGAUGAGUGCUAAGUGUUAGGGGGUUUCCGCCCCUUAGUGCUGCAGCUAACGCAUUAAGCACUCCGCCUGGGGAGUACGACCGCAAGGUUGAAACUCAAAGGAAUUGACGGGGACCCGCACAAGCGGUGGAGCAUGUGGUUUAAUUCGAAGCAACGCGAAGAACCUUACCAAAUCUUGACAUCCUUUGACAACUCUAGAGAUAGAGCCUUCCCCUUCGGGGGACAAAGUGACAGGUGGUGCAUGGUUGUCGUCAGCUCGUGUCGUGAGAUGUUGGGUUAAGUCCCGCAACGAGCGCAACCCUUAAGCUUAGUUGCCAUCAUUAAGUUGGGCACUCUAAGUUGACUGCCGGUGACAAACCGGAGGAAGGUGGGGAUGACGUCAAAUCAUCAUGCCCCUUAUGAUUUGGGCUACACACGUGCUACAAUGGACAAUACAAAGGGCAGCGAAACCGCGAGGUCAAGCAAAUCCCAUAAAGUUGUUCUCAGUUCGGAUUGUAGUCUGCAACUCGACUACAUGAAGCUGGAAUCGCUAGUAAUCGUAGAUCAGCAUGCUACGGUGAAUACGUUCCCGGGUCU